rnacentral:rRNA from 1 species
UACGUAGGGCGCAAGCGUUGUCCGGAAUUAUUGGGCGUAAAGAGCUCGUAGGCGGUCUGUCGCGUCGGAUGUGAAAGCCCGGGGCUUAACCCCGGGUCUGCAUUCGAUACGGGCAGACUAGAGUGUGGUAGGGGAGAUCGGAAUUCCUGGUGUAGCGGUGAAAUGCGCAGAUAUCAGGAGGAACACCGGUGGCGAAGGCGGGUCUCUGGGCAACAACUGACGCUGAGGAGCGAAAGCAUGGGGAGCGAACAGG